rnacentral:rRNA from 1 species
UACGUAGGGGGCAAGCGUUGUCCGGAAUCAUUGGGCGUAAAGAGCGCGUAGGCGGCCCAGUAACGUCCGCUCUGAAAGUCAGAGGCUCAACCUCUGAAUGCGGGUGGAUACUGCUGGGCUAGAGUCCGGAAGAGGCGAGUGGAAUUCCUGGUGUAGCGGUGAAAUGCGCAGAUAUCAGGAGGAACACCGGUGGCGAAGGCGGGUCUCUGGGCCGAUACUGACGUGAGGAGCGAAAGCGUGGGGAGCGAACAGG